GACGAACGCUGGCGGCGUGCUUAACACAUGCAAGUCGAACGGUGACGCUGGAGCUUGCUCCAGCUGAUCAGUGGCGAACGGGUGAGUAACACGUGAGCAACCUGCCCUUGACUCUGGGAUAACCCCGGGAAACCGGAGCUAAUACCGGAUACGAACCGCAUAGGCAUCUGCGCGGUUGGAAAGAUUUAUCGGUCAAGGGUGGGCUCGCGGCCUAUCAGCUUGUUGGUGGGGUAACGGCCCACCAAGGCGACGACGGGUAGCCGGCCUGAGAGGGCGACCGGCCACACUGGGACUGAGACACGGCCCAGACUCCUACGGGAGGCAGCAGUGGGGAAUAUUGCACAAUGGGCGAAAGCCUGAUGCAGCGACGCCGCGUGAGGGACGAAGGCCUUCGGGUUGUAAACCGCUUUUGUCAGGGACGAUGAUGACGGUACCUGACGAAUAAGCCACGGCUAACUACGUGCCAGCCGCCGCAGUAACAC
rnacentral:rRNA from 1 species